rnacentral:rRNA from 1 species
UACGAAGGGGGCAAGCGUUGUUCGGAAUUACUGGGCGUAAAGGGCGCGUAGGCGGUCUGGUCAGUCGGGCGUGAAAGCCCCGGGCUCAACCUGGGAGGUGCGUCCGAGACGGCCGGGCUUGAGGUCGGAAGAGGGUGGUGAAAUUCCCAGUGUAGAGGUGAAAUUCGUAGAUAUUGGGAAGAACACCGGUGGCGAAGGCGGCCACCUGGUCCGCACCUGACGCUGAGGCGCGAAAGCGUGGGGAGCAAACAGG